rnacentral:sRNA from 1 species
AUUAUUUGGUAUAUGUCUAGGCCUGGAAUUGUUGAGUCAUAUGAAAUUACCCCUGUGGUCUCCAUUGCCUACAAAGUCCUGGAAGUUUUCCCCAAAGGCCGCCGGGUGCUCAUAACCUGCCGUGCACCCCAGCCACCACCGCCCAUCACCUGUUCCCUCUGUGGAACCAAGAACAUCAAGGUGGCCAAGAAGGUGGUGAAGACCCACGAGCCGGCCUCCUUCAACCUCAACGUCACACUCAAGUCCAGUCCAGACCUGCUCACCUACUUCUGCCGGGCGUCCUCCACCUCAGGUGCCCAUGUGGACAGUGCCAGGCUGCAGAUGUACUGGGAGCUGUGGUCCAAGCCAGUGUCUGAGCUGCGGGCUAACUUCACUCUGCAGGACAGAGGGGCAGGCCCCAGGGUGGAGAUGAUCUGCCAGGCGUCCUCGGGCAGCCCACCUAUCACCUACAGCCUGAUCGGGAAGGAUGGGCAGGUCCACCUGCAGCAGAGACCACGCCACAGGCAGCCUGCCAACUUCUCCUUCCUGCCGAGCCAGACAUCGGACUGGUUCCGGUGCCAGGCUUCAAACAACAUCAAUGUCCAGCACAGCGCCCUCACAGUGGUGCCCCCAGGUGAGAGAGCCCUUGGAUUUCCAGAGGGGCAGCUGGCGCUUCUGUGCCGGGAGGGUGCUAGUGUCCAAGACACAGGUCGAGGGGAAGUGGGACAGCUCUACCCGGCCACUGCGGAGAGCAGAGAGGGCACAGGAGGCAACCAUGCCCACCCUGGCCCCUGCCUAAAGGAAGCCCAACCCAGCUGCCUCCGCCCCCUCCCAGGAGGGUUGCCCAGGGCACCCACCAUCGUGCUGGUUGGCAGCCUUGCCUCCACUGCGGCCAUCACCUCCAGGAUGCUGGGCUGGACCACGUGGGCCAGGUAGGAAAUGGGUGCUCGAUGCAGGGAGGAGGGAGAGCUGCUGAUGGCCUGAGAGGUCCAACCAGGCCCUGGUCGCAGAGCUCAGGUGGUGGGGCUUGCAGGGCAGGGCUGUGGCCAGGGCAAAGAGGGGCCAUCACCGCUUACGCAUGACUCGAAGGUGUUUAUGAGGACCUACUGUGUGCCAUGUGCCUACUGAGGCUUACACAUUCAAGGCAUUAUCGGACCCUGGCCAGUGCUCCCAGUUGCCCUGUAACACAGUCUGCUGGCCUCUGGGAGGGCAGUCUCCUAAGUUCUUUAUGGGGUCUGAGCAGGGAUGCAGGGAUGAUGCCUCCAGGAGACCAAGGCGGACCAGGAGCUCCUGCCUUCUGUGAGAACCACAUUGGGCAGUCUUUCCGAGGUGGUGGCAAGAGCCUGGGGCCCAGCCUCCCAGGGUCCCCUCUCCAAGGCCAUGGCUUUACUAACAUGUAAGGUGACCAAGGCCUUUGUAGUGUCUGAGCGCAGGCACCACAGGCUUGUGUGCUCUGCCUGUCUGGCUUUGGUGGUGGCCAGCCCUGCCUCUGUGAACUCAUCUCUCUUUGUUUGGGAGACACUGCCGUGUCCUGGUUCUCAUCCUCUGCCCGUGGCCCAGGCCCUUACGUGGCUCUACCAGGAGUCUGUCCUUGGCACUCUCCCAUCUCACUUCUACCAAGUCUGUUCUUUCCAGAGGCCAGACUCGUGGGUGAGCCAUGUCACCUCGCCGAGCCUCAGUUUUUCCUUCUGUAAAAUGGGGUACAGCCUUCAUUUAGUGGGGUGAGUAAGCCUCAUGUCUCUCCUGCUGGGGCACUGAUGUGCUUGGCACCAUAAACCUCCCAGAGGCAGGCCGGGUACAGUGGCUCAUGCCUGUAAUCUCAGCACUUUGGGAGGCUGAGGCAGGCGAAUCACCUGAGGUCAGGAGUUCGAGACCAGCCUGGCCAACAUGAAGAAACCCCGUCUCUACUAAAAAUACAAAAUUAGCUGGGCGUGGUGGUGCGCACCUGUAAUCCCAGCUACUCAGGAGACUGAGGCAGGAGAAUCACUUGAACUCAGGAGGUGGAGGUUGCAGUGAGCCGAGAUCGUGCCAUUGCACUCCAGCCUGGACAAAAAGAGCAAAACUCCGUCUCAAAACAAACGAACACUCUCAGACGCCUCGGGAGGGGAUGGCUGGGAGGUGAGCCUGCCUGACUUGAGUCUCCACUGCUUUGUCAAGGUGGUGACCAGAAGAUGGAGGACUGGCAGGAUCCCCUGGAGAGCCCCAUCCUUGCCUUGCCGCUCUGCAGGAGCACCCGCCGUCUGAGUGAAGAGGAGUUUGGGGGGUUCAGGAUAGGGAAUGGGGAGGUCAGAGGACGCAAAGCAGCAGCCAUGUAGAAUGAACCGUCCAGAGAGCCAAGCACGGCAGAGGACUGCAGGCCAUCAGCGUGCACUGUUCGUAUUUGGAGUUCAUGCAAAACGAGUGUGUUUUAGCUGCUCUUGCCAC